UGGGGAAUUUUGGACAAUGGGCGAAAGCCUGAUCCAGCAAUGCCGCGUGUGUGAAGAAGGCCUUCGGGUUGUAAAGCACUUUUGUCCGGAAAGAAAUCCUUGGCUCUAAUACAGUCGGGGGAUGACGGUACCGGAAGAAUAAGCACCGGCUAACUACGUGCCAGCAGCCGCGGUAAUACGUAGGGUGCAAGCAUUAAUCGGAAUUACUGGGCGUAAAGCGUGCGCAGGCGGUUUGCUAAGACCGAUGUGAAAUCCCCGGGCUCAACCUGGGAACUGCAUUGGUGACUGGCAGGCUAGAGUAUGGCAGAGGGGGGUAGAAUUCCACGUGUAGCAGUGAAAUGCGUAGAGAUGUGGAGGAAUACCGAUGGCGAAGGCAGCCCCCUGGGCCAAUACUGACGCUCAUGCACGAAAGCGUGGGGAGCAAACAGGAUUAGAUACCCUGGUAGUCCACGCCCUAAACGAUGUCAACUAGUUGUUGGGGAUUCAUUCCUUAGUAACGUAGCUAACGCGUGAAGUUGACCGCCUGGGGAGUACGGUCGCAAGAUUAAAACUCAAAGGAAUUGACGGGGUCAUAGCUG
rnacentral:rRNA from 1 species